rfam:Puccinia graminis f. sp. tritici CRL 75-36-700-3 supercont2.25 genomic scaffold, whole genome shotgun sequence.
GGCUGCCUGGCCCAAUGGUCAAGGCGCUUGACUACGAGCUGCACAGGCGUGUGAUUGUAAUCAAGAGAUUCCAGGUUCGAGUCCUGGGGUGGUCG